ACCCUGUGGGCCCCAUAGAUCAGACCCCAUGGGCCCCAUAGAUCUGACCCUGUGGGCCCCAUAGAUCCAACCCUAUGGGCCCCAACCCUAUGGACCCCAUAGAUCCAACCCUAUGGGCCCCACAGAUCCACACGAACACCCCACAGACCCCACAGCCCCAUAGGAACACUCACUCACCCCAUGGGCCCCACAGAUCCAUAGGAACACCCCACAGACCCCACAGCCCCAUAGGAACACUCACUCACCCCAUGGGCCCCAUAGACCCACAGGAACACUCAACCCCACAGCUCCCACCCCACAGACCCCAAAGCCCCAUAGGAACACUCACUCACCCCACAUCUCCAACCCCACGGACCCCACAGACCCACAGGAACACUCACUCACCCCAUGGGCCCCAUAGAUCCAUAGGAACACCCCACAUCUCUCACCCCAUGGGCCCCAUAGAUCCCCCCAGACCCUCAUCCCCCCCAACCAGCAGCUCACCUGUGGGGCGGGCGCCGUGGGGCCGCACCGUCGGCGUUGGGGCCGCG
ensembl:lncRNA